CGAAAACAAUGUGAUUUCUCGUCGAAUAUCGUCACGUUUAAUCGUACUCACUGAAUCGUCGGCGAACGUUUUCUGAUCCGACGUGUUCGUUUAGACAUCUGUCAAAUACGAGUGUUUUCGACUGGGUGCCUAUGUGUAUACGAUGUUUCACAUAGGACGUAUCACGGUAGAAAUAAUGUGGUAUCGAGUUGGCAAAGAAAACGAAAAUUAUGAAAACAAUAAUAAUUGCAUAUCAGUAAUAAUGGAUACAUGUCAAUUAUUGAUCGAAAAACAAUUGCUCGCAAACGACAAUUGAUCGAAGAACAAUAUUGUUCGCAAACGACAAAUUCGUUUGACGUAUUCAACUGAAAGCAAUUUUAUAUACGUAUGGUAUAUUGAAUUUAAUUAUUAUACAGAAAAUAAAAAAAGAUAUUAGAACAGUUUUUAUACAGUUUCGAAAAUACCUGGUUAGGCAGAGUAGACAGACGAAAAAGACGAAAACAACCGAAAAUUUAAAUUUAAACUUUGAACUGUUUUUGAAGGAUAAAACAAGAUUUAGCAACCAUAAAUAAUUCGGUUGGAGGUUGACAUGACUGUUUUAUGUCGAUCUUAAGUGGUAAACAUCCAUCAGUAUGGCGUUUUAUUGAAGUUUUGAAGAAAGAAGAAAGCAUAAAUCAACUCAAAAUUGAGCAGUGUUUAUCUGGCACUGAACCUCCGACAAAAAAAAAUACGAAUUAAAAAGAUUUGAGAAUUAAAAAAAUGUGCCCUGAUAAAUAAUGAUCUGAACAUUCUCAAUUAUCUACGUGUAUAAUAAUAAUAAUAGCCU